rnacentral:ncRNA from 2 species
AAAUAAAAUAGAGGUAGCGGUGCAUCAUAGUACUUUAUGGAGGAGGCGUCCUUAGAAGUAAAGGAAAGGUAAUCAUCGCCGAACAUUUUAGCUAGGCAUGGCUAUUUUGUGGGACUAUAGAAAAUAUCUAUAGUACUCCUACUAGUAAUAGUAGAGGCGCUAACAAUAAU